GUACUACCUUCUGCAGUACAUAUCCUAAAAUUGGAACGAUAGAGAGAUUAGCAUGGCACCUGCACACGCACGACACGCACAUUGGUGAAGCGUUGUAUAUUUUU